UAUUUCCAAUUUCUAAGUAAAAUCUUAUUGAUUGUUCUAUCCACAUUCUGUAUCUGAGUACCAGUUACCAUCUAUGUAUCUAUGUAGUCUGUUUAUCUCUCUAAUAUCUCUCUACAAUCCUCUAAUGUAUGAAUGAAUGACUCCAUCCAUUCAUCCAUCCAUCUACCUACUUACCAUCUUUCUAAGCUUUAGCCAUUGGUUAUAAGUUUUUAUAUUAUAUAUAAUACAUAGUGUGUAUAGUAUUGUGAGAGGUGUAUAUGUGUGUAUGUGCAUAUGUUUGCACAUACAUGUGGAAGUGGAAACAGUUGGUAAAGUGCUUACCUAAUAAGCACAUAAUCCUAAGGAACGAGAUGGUGGUCAUUCCACAGUGUCUCACUGGCCUGGAACUUGUCAAACAGUAGGCUGGCUGCUCAUCUGCUUCUGUCUCUCCAGUACUAUUCCAAGCAUACAUCACCAUGUCUGCAGUUUUCUUCCUGGCAGUUGAACCUAGGACUUCAUGUAUGAGAGGCAAGUGCUCUAACCAUUGAACUACAGCCCCAGAUCAUGCAAUUUUUAAAAUAUAAGUUCUGUGAACUGAACUCAGAUCUUCAUUCUUGCAAGGAAUGCUUUAUACUACAUGAAGGCACAGACCAUAAUGAAAACUGUUCUGUGAUAUUUGAAGUCAUUUAUAUAUCAGCUGAGACCAAAGGACAAAUUUGACAAUAUUUUAAAGAAAAUUGGUGAAGAGGAUUUUCACUGUUAGACACACCACAGGAUCAGCCUUUUGGAGAUUGCUGGAGUGUUGGCUAAUUGUGUCUGUGGGAAGUGAAAGGUUCCAGCCUUGAACAUUGCAGACUGCACUAGAAAUGGUCUUGAAUACAACAUUCCAUCUUCCCAGCACAAAGUGACAGGUUGUCUUGGAUUGUUGACUUAUACCUUCUGGAGCUCAGGCCAGAGGGAAAAACUUACAGGGAUUGGAGUCAUCUUGAUCUUCCAAUGGGAAACAUACUUAAGGCUAACCUGAAGUCAUCUACAAACCUAACAUUUAUCUUCAGUGCUGUGAGGACCUAACCAAAGACAUUUGAGAUAAAAAGAGAUUGUUGGCAUUACUCCCAGAAGACACUUGGAUACUGUUUUGUGUGAUAUAAUGCCAGGGUGAAAACUGCCUCUUUCAAUAAA